GACGAACGCUGGCGGCGUGCCUAAUACAUGCAAGUCGAGCGAAGUUUUUCUGGUGCUUGCACUAGAAAAACUUAGCGGCGAACGGGUGAGUAACACGUAAAGAACCUGCCUCAUAGACUGGGACAACUAUUGGAAACGAUAGCUAAUACCGGAUAACAGUAUUUCUCGCAUGAGAGAUAUUUAAAAGUUGGUUAUGCUAACACUAUGAGAUGGCUUUGCGGUGCAUUAGCUAGUUGGUGGGGUAAAGGCCCACCAAGGCGACGAUGCAUAGCCGACCUGAGAGGGUGAUCGGCCACACUGGGACUGAGACACGGCCCAGACUCCUACGGGAGGCAGCAGUAGGGAAUCUUCCGCAAUGGGCGAAAGCCUGACGGAGCAACGCCGCGUGAGUGAAGAAGGAUUUCGGUUCGUAAAGCUUCUGUUUGUUAGGGAAAGAAAUGGGAUAAUGUAGUAAACUAUACCAU
rnacentral:rRNA from 1 species